GAGACAUAGCAUGUUAAAAUUAGGGUGGAAAAUAAAAUUAAGAUCCCGCGCUCUUAUUCUUCACUGUACACCCCCGCGAAAAAAAUUUCUUCUCGUCUUCUUCAUUCCGCCAGCAACCCAAACUGCAGCGACUCUCCCUCCCCAACUCCGGUCACUCAUCUUCACGAUCUCAUCAUCUCAGCUCCCUUCGGCAUCAACUCUCACUGUAACCUCUCUAGAAUCGCCUCCUUCUUCUUCAAAUUUCGGCAUCCUCGGCAAUCGCACGGGUUUGGGCAUAACAAAAGGCCAAUCGCAAAAGUGCGCUUGGGUUUAGAUAUUGGAAAAUCUGUUGGUUCGGUACAUAGAUUUGGAUUAAGAGAUUGAGUUCAGAGAUUGAGUUCGUGUCAUACAGCAGCAAGACCUGUGAUAUUGGAGCCUGUUAUGCUGGCAAAUUUGUGAAGUGCAGUGUGAGCAGCCAAACAAUUCAUUAUACACUUUCACAGGCAAUCUCAUUUUUCAGAAGCAAACUAUACCUCUCACCCCAAACCAACUCCUGCUGAGAGGAUGCAGUCUAAGGAACAUUGAGUAUAUUGUUGGGGCUGUUAUGUUCUCAGGUCAUGAAACAAAGGUAAUGAUGAAUGCCAUGAAUGUUCCUUCCAAAAGAAGUACACUAGAGAGAAAACUUGACAAACUUAUACUUACACUUUUUGGAACCCUCUUUCUCAUGUGUCUCAUUGGAGCUAUUGGCAGCGGUGUAUUCAUCAAUCGCAAGUACUUCUACUUGGGUCUAAAUGAAGGUGUAGAAGAUCAGUUCAAUCCUCAAAAACCUUUUGUGGUUGCUAUUCUUACUAUGUUCACUCUUAUUACUCUAUAUUCAACCAUCAUUCCUAUAUCUCUUUAUUUUAAUUGAGAAUGAUUUAUAUAUCUCACAAGAAGAUAUAGUCCAUGUUGGCUUAAUGGAAGAGAUUGGAGCAUCAUGUGUAUCGUUAUAUAUCAGGAUUUUAUACUUCCAAUUAGUGAAAAGAGAGAUCAGUCACUUUUUUCGUUUUGUUGAGUGGUUAUCAAAUGUUGGAUCCACUGAAGAAGAACGAGUUGAAUGGGUAUCAAAGCGUAUGAUUGAUUCAAAUCCGGGUCAGAUGUGGUUGUUGCCAUAUCAUAAGGGUGUCUUUCAACAUUUACGCACAAAUAAUGCAAAAACUAAGGAAGUCGCGUGGAGAACAAUUAAGUGUCCUCGUCAACCAUUACAAUCAGUACAAUGUGGGUUCUAUGUUAUGAGGAUGAUGAAGGACUUCAUGACAAAUGAGUUUUCAAUGCGAUGGCUAACUAGUAACUGUGGCGGGAAGAACUAUUACACAAAGGAUGAGAUCAAUGAAGUACGUGAAGAAUGGGCACAAUGCGUCAUGGAUUUGAUGAGUACUACAUAGUAGUGUGAACCCCAAACCCUCUGUAAGGAUCUCUACUCUCAGCCCUCAAACCCCAAACCCUCUGUAAGGCUCUCUUCUCUCAAACCUCAAGCGACUGAACCCCAAACCCCAAAAUAGUUUCAGACGCAGACGGGUCCAAACGCAGAUGCUGACGGCUCCAAUCUUGGGCAGCUCCAUCGUAGACGGGCGCCCCCAAGCUCUCCGAUCUUCCUCUCGGCAUUCACAGUGUUCUAUAACACCUUCUACUGCUAUCUUCUUCUAGUUGGACUCCUCAGUACGCCGACCAGACCACCAUCACGCCACCACUCCGCCACACCUAGCCGACCGGACCACCGCGCCACCACCGGACCACG